AUUGCCCUAGUAACGGCGAGUGAAGCGGCAACAGCUCAAAUUUGAAAUCUGGCUUUCGGGCCCGAGUUGUAAUUUGUAGAGGAUACUUUUGAUGCGGUGCCUUCCGAGUUCCCUGGAACGGGACGCCAUAGAGGGUGAGAGCCCCGUCUGGUUGGAUGCCAAAUCUCUGUAAAGUUCCUUCGACGAGUCGAGUAGUUUGGGAAUGCUGCUCUAAAUGGGAGGUAUAUGUCUUCUAAAGCUAAAUAUUGGCCAGAGACCGAUAGCGCACAAGUAGAGUGAUCGAAAGAUGAAAAGCACUUUGAAAAGAGAGUUAAAAAGUACGUGAAAUUGUUGAAAGGGAAGCGUUUAUGACCAGACUUGGACUUGGUUAAUCAUCUGGGGUUCUCCCCAGUGCACUUUUCCAGUUCAGGCCAGCAUCAGUUUUCGCCGGGGGAUAAAGACUUCGGGAAUGUAGCUCUCUUCGGGGAGUGUUAUAGCCCGUUGUGUAAUACCCUGGCGGAGACUGAGGUUCGCGCUUCUGCAAGGAUGCUGGCGUAAUGGUCAUCAACGACCCGUCUUGAAACACGGACCAAGGAGUCGUCUUCGUAUGCGAGUGUUCGGGUGUCAAACCCCUACGCGUAAUGAAAGUGAACGCAGGUGAGAGCUUCGGCGCAUCAUCGACCGAUCCUGAUGUUCUCGGAUGGAUUUGAGUAAGAGCAUACGGGGCCGGACCCGAAAGAAGGUGAACUAUGCCUGUAUAGGGUGAAGCCAGAGGAAACUCUGGUGGAGGCUCGCAGCGGUUCUGACGUGCAAAUCGAUCGUCAAAUAUGGGCAUGGGGGCGAAAGACUAAUCGAACCUUCUAGUAGCUGGUUUCCGCCGAAGUUUCCCUCAGGAUAGCAGUGUUGAACUCAGUUUUAUGAGGUAAAGCGAAUGAUUAGGGACUCGGGGGCGCUAUAUUGCCUUCAUCCAUUCUCAAACUUUAAAUAUGUAAGAAGCCCUUGUUGCUUAAUUGAACGUGGGCAUUCGAAUGUAUCAACACUAGUGGGCCAUUUUUGGUAAGCAGAACUGGCGAUGCGGGAUGAACCGAACGCGAGGUUAAGGUGCCAGAGUAGACGCUCAUCAGACACCACAAAAGGUGUUAGUACAUCUUGACAGCAGGACGGUGGCCAUGGAAGUCGGAAUCCGCUAAGGACUGUGUAACAACUCACCUGCCGAAUGUACUAGCCCUGAAAAUGGAUGGCGCUCAAGCGUCUCACCCAUACCUCGCCCUCAGGGUAGAAACGAUGCCCUGAGGAGUAGGCGGACGUGGAGGUCAGUGACGAAGCCUAGGGC
rnacentral:rRNA from 1 species